rnacentral:rRNA from 1 species
CUGCGGCUUAAUUUGACUCAACACGGGAAAACUCACCCGGCCCGGACACCGGCAGGAUUGACAGAUUGAGAGCUCUUUCUUGAUUCGGUGGGUGGUGGUGCAUGGCCGUUCUUAGUUGGUGGAGCGAUUUGUCUGCUUAAUUGCGUUAACGAACGAGACUCCAGCCUGCUAAAUAGGCGUCCCGAUCCCCCGCGGUCGGGCGCUCUCUUCUUAGAGGGACCGGCGGCGUUCAGCCGCACGAGACGGAGCA